AUUUUUGCUCCCAAGGAGUGACAACGGUGGAGAAUAUGGAUGAUGGGCAGGAGCUUAUGGCUACUGAUCAUGCCAUGGAUAUCCUUGGCUUCACUCCAGAAGAAAAGUAUGGCUGCUAUAAAAUAGUAGGGGCCAUCAUGCACUUCGGGAACAUGAAAUUCAAACAGAAGCAGAGGGAGGAGCAGGCAGAGACCGAUGGCACUGAAAGUGCUGAUAAGGCCUCCUACCUGAUGGGUGUUAGCUCAGCAGA